GUAAAGUGGUGGGUGGGGUUGGAGAGGAAAGAAAAUCAGAGUAUUGCUGUUGGAGAGUGAAAGUGAAAAUGAAAAGGUGUGGGGGUGUAGGGGUGACAUCAAAAGUUAAAAAGAUAAAUAAUAAAUGUAAGAAAUGACAGUUUUGGAAUAAAAACAAAAUUAAGGAGGUGUAGGGAGUAGCUGGAGAGACGUAGGGAGUAACUCCCAUUCUUUAAACGUGCUUCUUUUUUCUUCCUUUUAUUGGGAAUAAGGCCCAACAUCCCUCCAGGCCCAAAAGGGUCCACUUUGCUUGAGAGCCCGCUGAGAGAUAAAAUAUCACGUGGGAAAAAGGCUCUGGCAGAUAAGCUGCCUUCGUCACACGCGCAAAAGAGAGAGAGAGAGAGAGCUCAAAGCUCUUCUGGAAACUAGAGAGAGAAGAAGCGUGGAAGUCCUUGCAAGCGAUCAACCAUGGAUGUUGGGAGGAGAAGAGAUGGAGAUCUACACAACGGCAUCAUGAAAGUGACCCAAAUUGCUAACACCAAUUUCUAGGAUAGGGUGAUGGAAAAGAGAAUUCAGAUGAGGCUAAGAGGGUAAGAGAGUUAGGGAUUAUCGAAGAAGAGAACUUAACUGUGAUGGACGAAGCUCAAGCAACAAUGGUGAAAAACGAAGGACGUGACUCAGGCGAAGGACGCGACUUAGGCAAAGGACUCAACUCAGGCGAGGACGCGACUUAGGCGAAGAAUGCGACUCAGGCGGACGAUGAAGACUCAGACCAGUGUAAUGAACAACACAAAACGGUGUCCAAGAGCAACUUUGGAGAGAAUUAUGAAGAAGAGGUGUGCCGAAGUGUAGAAGAGAUCAUGGAAAUUAGAGAGAAGAAAAAUGUGAGCAUGGAAGGCCAAAUUAUUUCGCUCUUUUUUAGCUAUUUCCAUCCCAAUGCGCCAAAAGCAUUUGUUUUUUUUAAAAGAAAUCAUAACUUUACUGCAGUUUUUAUAAAAACCGCCUGAAUUUAUUGGAGGUUUCCAUAACCGCCAAAAAUAAACCUCCACUAAAAUAUAUUAUUUUUGUAGUGGUACGACAAAUAAUGAAAAGUAUUAGUGUAUAA